AUAGGUAUCAAGUAUAAGUGCAGUAAUGUAUUCAGCUGAGAUAUACUAACAGACCGAGGACUUGACUAAUAUUUGUCGUGCUAUUGAAAUUAUCUUCAGGUUUAUGCUUUGGUGCCCAUAGCACAGUGGAACCACACCGAUCCAUCUCGAACUCGGUUGUUAAACACUGUAGCGGCAAUAAUACUGAAGGGGGAGCCCUUUGGAAAAGUAGCUCAGUGCCA
rnacentral:rRNA from 1 species